UAAUACGGAGGGUGCAAGCGUUGUUCGGAAUUACUGGGCGUAAAGGGUGCGUAGGCAGCCUGCUAAGUCAGAUGUGAAAGUCCACGGCUCAACCGUGGAAGUGCAUUUGAAACUGUCAGGCUUGAGUACCGGAGGGGAAAGUGGAAUUCCCGGUGUAGAGGUGAAAUUCGUAGAGAUCGGGAGGAACACCGGUGGCGAAGGCGACUUUCUGGACGAAUACUGACGCUGAGGCGCGAAAGCGUGGGGAGCAAACAGGAUUAGAUACCCUGGUAGUCCACGCCGUAAACGAUGUGAACUAGGGAUAGGGGGUGUUGAUCCCUCCUGUCCCGGAGCUAACGCAUUAAGUUCACCGCCUGGGGAGUACGGUCGCAAGAUUA
rnacentral:rRNA from 1 species